rnacentral:rRNA from 1 species
CCCGCUGAACUUAAGCAUAUCAAUAAGCGGAGGAAAAGAAACUAACAAGGAUUCCCCUAGUAACUGCGAGUGAAGAGGGAAAAGCUCAAAUUUAAAAUCUGGUGGUCUUUGGCCAUCCGAGUUGUAAUUUAGAGAAGCGUCUUCCGCGCUGGACCGUGCACAAGUCUCCUGGAACGGAGCGUCGUAGAGGGUGAGAAUCCCGUCUACGGCACGGACACACCAGGCCUUUUGCGAUACGCUCUCAAAGACUCGAGGUGUUUGACUAUGCAGCUCAAAAUGUGUGGUGAACUCCAUCUAACAGCAAUAUAUUGGAGAGACACCUAUAGCACACAUGUCACCGUGAGGGAAAUGAUGAAAAGCAUUUUGGAAAGAGAGUGAUACAACACGUGAAAUUGUUGAAAGGCAAACGCUUGGACUCAGUCGCGUCGUAUGAGACUCACCCUCGUCUCCGCUUGGCGUACUUCUCUGCCCGACGGCUCAGCAUCAAUUUCGCCUCUGAGAUAAUGGCGAGGGAAAAGUGACACCUUUACGGUGUAUUAUACUCUCUCGUCGCAUGCGACGGUCGUGAUUGAGUGACUCAGCACGCGCCUCUCCGCGUCGCGGCUUUCGCCCACGAUACGUGCUUAGGAUGCUGGCAUAAUGGCUUUAAGCGACCCGUCUUGAAACACGG